AACUGAAGAGUUUGAUCAUGGCUCAGAUUGAACGCUGGCGGCAGGCUUAACACAUGCAAGUCGAGCGGGGGAAGGUAGCUUGCUACCGGACCUAGCGGCGGACGGGUGAGUAAUGCUUAGGAAUCUGCCUAUUAGUGGGGGACAACAUCUCGAAAGGGAUGCUAAUACCGCAUACGUCCUACGGGAGAAAGCAGGGGAUCUUCGGACCUUGCGCUAAUAGAUGAGCCUAAGUCGGAUUAGCUAGUUGGUGGGGUAAAGGYCUACCAAGGCGACGAUCUGUAGCGGGUCUGAGAGGAUGAUCCGCCACACUGGGACUGAGACACGGCCCAGACUCCUACGGGAGGCAGCAGUGGGGAAUAUUGGACAAUGGGGGGAACCCUGAUCCAGCCAUGCCGCGUGUGUGAAGAAGGCCUUAUGGUUGUAAAGCACUUUAAGCGAGGAGGAGGCUACUCUAGUUAAUACCUAGAGAUAGUGGACGUUACUCGCAGAAUAAGCACCGGCUAACUCUGUGCCAGCAGCCGCGGUAAUACAG
rnacentral:rRNA from 1 species